rnacentral:rRNA from 1 species
UGCAGUCGAGCGGUAGCACAGAGAGCUUGCUCUCGGGUGACGAGCGGCGGACGGGUGAGUAAUGUCUGGGAAACUGCCUGAUGGAGGGGGAUAACUACUGGAAACGGUAGCUAAUACCGCAUAACGUCGCAAGACCAAAGUGGGGGACCUUCGGGCCUCAUGCCAUCAGAUGUGCCCAGAUGGGAUUAGCUAGUAGGUGGGGUAAUGGCUCACCUAGGCGACGAUCCCUAGCUGGUCUGAGAGGAUGACCAGCCACACUGGAACUGAGACACGGUCCAGACUCCUACGGGAGGCAGCAGUGGGGAAUAUUGCACAAUGGGCGCAAGCCUGAUGCAGCCAUGCCGCGUGUAUGAAGAAGGCCUUCGGGUUGUAAAGUACUUUCAGCGAGGAGGAAGGCGUUAAGGUUAAUAACCUUGGCGAUUGACGUUACUCGCAGAAGAAGCACCGGCUAACUCCGUGCCAGCAGCCGCGGUAAUACGGAGGGUGCAAGCGUUAAUCGGAAUUACUGGGCGUAAAGCGCACGCAGGCGGUCUGUUAAGUCAGAUGUGAAAUCCCCGGGCUCAACCUGGGAACUGCAUUUGAAACUGGCAGGCUUGAGUCUUGUAGAGGGGGGUAGAAUUCCAGGUGUAGCGGUGAAAUGCGUAGAGAUCUGGAGGAAAUACCGGUGGCGAAAGGCGGCCCCCCUGGACAAAGACUGACGCUCAGGUGCGAAAGCGUGGGGGAGCAAACAGGAUUAGAUACCCCUGGUAGUCCACGCUGUAAAACGAUGUCGACUUGGGAGGUUUGUUUCCCUUGAGGAGUGGGCUUCCCGGAACUAACGGCGGUUUAAGUCGACCGCCUGGGGAGUACGGCCGCAAGGUUAAAACUCAAAUGAAUUGACGGGGGCCCGCACAAGCGGUGGAGCAUGUGGUUUAAUUCGAUGCAACGCGAAGAACCUUACCUACUCUUGACAUCCAGAGAACUUAGCAGAGAUGCUUUGGUGCCUUCGGGAACUCUGAGACAGGUGCUGCAUGGCUGUCGUCAGCUCGUGUUGUGAAAUGUUGGGUUAAGUCCCGCAACGAGCGCAACCCUUAUCCUUUGUUGCCAGCGAUUCGGUCGGGAACUCAAAGGAGACUGCCAGUGAUAAACUGGAGGAAGGUGGGGAUGACGUCAAGUCAUCAUGGCCCUUACGAGUAGGGCUACACACGUGCUACAAUGGCAUAUACAAAGAGAAGCGACCUCGCGAGAGCAAGCGGACCUCAUAAAGUAUGUCGUAGUCCGGAUUGGAGUCUGCAACUCGACUCCAUGAAGUCGGAAUCGCUAGUAAUCGUAGAUCAGAAUGCUACGGUGAAUACGUUCCCGGGCCUUGUACACACCGCCCGUCACACCAUGGGAGUGGGUUGCAAAAGAAGUAGGUAGCUUAACCUUCGGGAGGGCGCUUACCACUUUGUGAUUCAUGACUGGGGUGAAGUCGUAACAA